rnacentral:rRNA from 1 species
UACAGAGGUGGCAAGCGUUGUUCGGAAUUACUGGGCGUAAAGGGCGCGUAGGCGGUUCGUUAAGUCCUGUGUGAAAUCCCCCGGCUCAACUGGGGAACUGCACAGGAAACUAGCGGGCUUGAGUUCGGGAGAGGGAAGCGGAAUUCCGGGUGUAGCGGUGAAAUGCGUAGAUAUCAGGAAGAACACCCGUGGCGAAAGCGGCUCUCUGGAACGGUACUGACGCUGAGACGCGAAAGCGUGGGGAGCGAACAGG